GAACUCGACACCAAUUAAGUCAGGCCGCAGGCGCUCUGUGAGACGGGCUGGUGAAAUCAACCAGGUAGACCGACGAAACAGACACACGGACACCAAACAGCAGUUGUCAGCAGUCCAACCACACCUCCAAACCCCCAAAUGAUUUUGGCAGCUGGAGCAACGCACGAACGCCACAGCCCGAACAUUUGAGUGUCUUCCACAACACUGAAUCCCAAGCAUAUUCAGCCACUCUCUCAAAACUGACCUCCAAACAGCCACAUCUGCUGCCGCCAUAUGCCCGUUCAAGGGACCGCUUCAGCCUCUCAUGAGAAACACUGAUACUUUCAGAGUCAUCUGGUCUCCAAGCUGUACGGCGAGGACAGCUUCUGCUAAGAUAUUUGCAUAGACCAUGCUGGAGGUCUGGGGCAGCCGAGGGCCCAGUGGUUGGUAGAGUGUUCAAAGGAAAAGGACGAAAGACCCAGAGGAUUCAUGUGGAGCUGGAGCAUUGUCUCUGAAAAACAGGAGCACUGCCGGGGAAGAAAUGCCUUGAUUUAAAAUUCGCUUACAAAUCCAGCUAUGGCUCGAGCGAACACCACAAGUGUGCAGAAUGAGAAGCAGAGGGGGUGAAUAAAAUGAAACCUGCUCUCA